UUCUCCCUACGGGGGGCAGCAGUGGGGGAUAUUGCACAAUGGGGGAAACCCUGAUGCAGCGACGCCGCGUGGGCGAAGAAGUAUUUCGGUAUGUAAAGCCCUAUCAGCAGGGAAGAAGAAAUGACGGUACCUGAGUAAGAAGCACCGGCUAAAUACGUGCCAGCAGCCGCGGUAAUACGUAUGGUGCAAGCGUUAUCCGGAUUUACUGGGUGUAAAGGGAGCGCAGGCGGCACGGCAAGCCUGAUGUGAAAGCCCGGGGCUCAACCCCGGGACUGCAUUUGAAACUGUCAGGCUGGAGUGCAGGG
rnacentral:rRNA from 1 species